CGACAGGUCGGGGGCUCCCAGCUGCUCCAGCAGGACUCCCACCAGCAGCCCGGGCAGCUGCCUCUCCUGUCAGCAGACCCCUCUCCCGGAACAGGGACAUCUUAAGCUUGUUGGGAUCAAUUGCCCGUGUCGUUCCACUUAGUCCCCCUGCCAGACCCUGACAUCUUCACUGGAGGGGAGGAAACAAGGGCUUUCCAGGACUCUGGACCAAUCCCUAAGGGACACAGCUUUGGGGCGGAGAAUAAAGCAGGGUCUGGAGGGGGCGGGGCAGUUAGAAGCAGCCCAGAGUCUUUAGAAGAAGCCACAAGUAGCCCCCACCCCCCCACCCCACCCCACCCCCCCACCCCACCCCACCCCCCAUCCCCGUAGCCCCUGGGGAGCCCCGUGAGGGGUGGAAGGACCAGCGGAGUCCAGUGCCAGGCCCGGUGCACAGGGAGCCUCAACCUCCUCAACCAAACCACAGUCUCAAGAGCUUCCUGUGGACCACACACAGAGGGGUGGCCCCUGUCUUUCCAUUCCUGGUGCCCUUGCAAGGAAUUCAGACUCAUGUAGGACGCCAACCCUGACGCAUCCCAGACCCCAGCCAGAGGGUUGGCGAAGGUGGCCCAGCUUGGAAAAGGCCUUUGAGGGACAGGCUGAGCAUGUCUGCACUUUGCUCUGGAAUGUUAUUCCCACCCCACCUCAACCUGAGCCUGACUCCCACCCACCCAAAAUAAAAUGUCUGAGUGCAUUCCACACCCUGGGGAGCUGCCGGAAUGGGACAAGAUCGCGGCCAGGGCAGCCCAGCCCAGCCUCGCCCCCAAAAGAACUCAGUGGACAGAGGAGACCCGCACAGCCAUCUGGGGAAAUGGACAGUCACUGGGCUGCACUUGCCCAGCGCUCACUUCACGGCCACAGGGAGCCCAGGGUUUUGGGAGACAAAGUGCCACUUAAAAGCCCAUCGUCUCCUACCGCCCUCCCGCCCUGAGCUCCAUAGAUCAUAAAUUCCAGAGGGCAGAGGGGGCUCAUGCUGGGGGCAGAGGUCACAACCCUGCUCCAUCCGUUGCUGCAGAUGGAGGCCCCCAGAGAAUAAGGUGCAAAGGGUGGUAUCAGCCCCUGGCAUCCUUGUCAGCCCCCGACAUUUCCUGGGCCAGCCCUCUGACCUUGACAGGGACUAUUCUGGCCGCUGCCCUGCACUCCAGAGAAAAGUAACCCUCCUCUGCCCCUUCCUCCUCUGCUUAUCCCACCGUGGAGUAGAGCCUCUGGGUGUUUAGGGUUAAAGAGCAGAGGGAAAGCUGUGAACACAGAUGAGCCCAGCAAUUUGAUAUUAAGGAAACUCAGAAGCCUGCAGACUACUGGAAAGGGUAGUUCAUUUUCACUUGCAUCUUAAACCCCGUGGAGCCAACUGGGAAUAGCACAGACCUCAGUGUCAACUACGGGCUUCCCAGGUGACUCAGCGGUAAAGAAUCUUGCCUGCCAAUGCAGGAGAUGAAAGAGAUGCAGGUUUGAUCCCUGGAUCAGAAAGAUACCUUGGAAUAGGAAAUGGCAACCCACUCCAGUAUUCUUGCCUGGAAAAUCCCACGGACAGAGGAGCCUGGUGGGCUACAGUCCAU
ensembl:lncRNA